rnacentral:tRNA from 1 species
UGUGGAGUAGCUCAAUGGUAGAGCUCUUGCCUAGCAUACAGAAGGUUCUAAGUUCAAUCUCCAGCACCACAA